rnacentral:lncRNA from 1 species
GACUACACAUUUUCUGCCCCACUGAAAACAUCUUGACAAGAGACCACCAUGAAAAUGAAUCAAAUUUUGACAUUGUGCCUCGGGAUGCUGCUUUUAACCUUACCCUUUUCAACCUCAGAGGACAAAGGCUCAGCAAAAGAUGGUGAGCAAAAACCAGCCUCGCAACCGACAAACAACACCAAUACCAACACUGCGGGGGCCACCGAUGCUGCAGGACUGGAUGUGUUGCCCACCAUGCUGUGUUUACUGAUUCCAGCUGCCACCCUCAGCUUCAUGCACUGAACUGGCUGGAGAGUGUUUUGAUGUAACCCAGAAAGACGGACAGCCAGUCACAUGAAGAGAGAGAUUUUCCACAGUUCUGGAAGACACAUAAAUAAAGCAAGAUGCCACAGCAAUUCAAAUUAGAAAAAGAUUUUGUUUAUUUGUUAAUAUAAAUAUUUCUGGAAAAAAAAAAAAACGGCUUUAAAAGGACAACACCCAACAAAGCCACACAGAUGGACUCUUGCCCCAUUUUUGAAAAUACCCAUCAGCUGUGAUUUCCUUGUUCAAAAUUAAACAUGAUAAUUCAGUUAUACAAUAUUUUUGGCUUGAUUGUAAUUAUAAUGAUUAAGAAUAUGUCUAUAUGCACAAUUAAAGUGGAUGAU